CCCUUAGAUGUUCUGGGCCGCACACGCGCUACAAUGGCAAAGUCAACGAGCUUAUCCUAUGCUGACAAGCACAGGUAAUCUUUUCAGUCUUUGUCGUGAUGGGGAUAGACCCUUGUAAUUAUUGGUCUCCAACGAGGAAUUCCUAGUAAACGCAAGUCAUCAACUUGCAUUGAUUACGUCCCUGCCCUUUGUACGCACCGCCCGUCGCACCUACCGAUUGAAUGGUCCGGUGAAGUCUUCGGACCGAUGCUGACUCGUUGGCAACGGAAAGUUGAGUAAACCUUACCAUUUAGAGGAAGGUGAAGUCGUAACA
rnacentral:rRNA from 1 species